rnacentral:rRNA from 1 species
GAUGAACGCUAGCUACAGGCUUAACACAUGCAAGUCGCGGGGCAGCAUGGGGGUUGCUUGCAACUCCCGAUGGCGACCGGCGCACGGGUGAGUAACGCGUAUCCAACCUGCCCUUCACCCCGGGAUAACCCGGCGAAAGUCGGACUAAUACCGUAUGUUGUCCAUUGACGGCAUCCGGUUUGGCCGGAAGGCUUUGCGGUGAAGGAUGGGGUUGCGUCCGAUUGGCGUGAAGGCGGAGUAACGGCCCCCCGUGGCUACGGUCGGUAGGGGUGCUGAGUAGAAGGUCCCCCACACUGGAACUGAGACACGGACCACACUGCUACGGGAGGGAGCAGUGAGGAAUAUUGGGCAAGGGGCGUAAGCCUGAACCAGCCAAGUAGCGUGCAGGAGGACUGCCCUAUGGGUUGUAAACUGCUUUUAUGCGGGGAUAAAGUGGCCCACGUGUGGGCUUUUGCAGGUACCGCAUGAAUAAGGACCGGCUAAUUCCGUG